rnacentral:rRNA from 1 species
UACAGAGGGGGCAAGCGUUAUUCGGAAUUAUUGGGCGUAAAGGGCGCGUAGGCGGCUUGGCAAGUGGAUGGUGAAAUCCCUCGGCUUAACCGAGGAACUGCCGUCCAAACUGCUUCGCUUGAGACCGGGAGAGGUGAGUGGAAUUCCCAGUGUAGCGGUGAAAUGCGUAGAUAUUGGGAGGAACACCAGUGGCGAAGGCGGCUCACUGGACCGGUACUGACGCUGAUGCGCGGAAGCGUGGGGAGCAAACGGG